CAUGCAAGUCGACGGCAGCACGGACUUCGGUCUGGUGGCGAGUGGCGAACGGGUGAGUAAUACAUCGGAACGUACCGCGUAGUGGGGGACAACAAGUCGAAAGAUUUGCUAAUACCGCAUACACUCUGAGGAGAAAAGCAGGGGACCUUCGGGCCUUGUGCUAUGCGAGCGGCCGAUGGCUGAUUAGCUAGUUGGUGGGGUAAAGGCCUACCAAGGCAACGAUCAGUAGCGGGUCUUAGAGGACGAUCCGCCACACUGGAACUGAGACACGGUCCAGACUCCUACGGGAGGCAGCAGUGGGGAAUCUUGGACAAUGGGCGCAAGCCUGAUCCAGCAAUGCCGCGUGCGUGAAGAAGGCCUUCGGGUUGUAAAGCGCUUUUGUCAGGGAGCAAAGACUGAUGGCUAAUAUCCAUCGGAGUUGAGAGUACCUGAAGAAUAAGGACCGGCUAACUACGUGCCAGCAGCCGCGGUAAUACGUAGGGUCCAAGCGUUAAUCGGAAUUACUGGGCGUAAAGCGUGCGCAGGUGGUUUGUUAAGCACGAUGUGAAAUCCCCGAGCUCAACUUGGGAAUUGCAUUGUGAACUGGCUAACUAGAGUACGGCAGAGGGGGGUGGAAUUCCACGUGUA
rnacentral:rRNA from 1 species